AUGACGAUGACAAGGGAAGGCUCGCCGACAAAAACACUCUCUGAUUUCAAAAGGUAUUUUUUUCUUCGAAUUCAAUUUUGAAUUGAUGUCUUAAAUUGCUUCCUGUAAGGUGGUGUCUCUUCUCCUUAUGUAGUAGAUUUGCCAUCAUCUCUUCUCCGGCUUUUCGCCGUUGUUGUUGAUACUCUCUGUUUUGUGUCGUAAACAUCAGAGAGACGAUCACAUUCCGCUCUCACCGCUACAUGUCGUCGAAACUCAACAAAGCCCAAUAAGAAUAAGGAAUUCCAGCCCAUGACCAUAAUUGUCUCACAUUCAGCAGACACUACAAUUAUACAAGCUAUUGGCCAGGUCUAUUUCUAUCCUAUA